GGGCCUGUAGCGCAGUUGGUAGCGCGCCUCGUUCGCAUCGAGGAGGUCAGGGGUUCGAUUCCCCUCAGGUCCACC
rnacentral:tRNA from 1 species